rnacentral:sRNA from 1 species
ACGUGCCUCGGUUUCCGUUAGCAACCAGAGGCUUCUAAACAACCUACCCUCUUUCCCCAUUUUCUGUGGUCCAACUACCCUCGGCGAUCCCAGGCUUGGCGGGGCACCGCCUGGCCUCUCCCGUUCCUUUAGGCUGCCGCCGCCGCCUGCCGCCAUGGCAGAGUUGGGCCUAAAUGAGCACCAUCAAAAUGAAGUUAUUAAUUAUAUGCGUUUUGCUCGUUCAAAGAGAGGCUUGAGACUCAAAACUGUAGAUUCCUGCUUCCAAGACCUCAAGGAGAGCAGGCUGGUGGAGGAGACCUUCACCAUAGAUGAAGUCUCUGAAGUCCUCAAUGGAUUACAAGCUGUGGUUCAUAGUGAGGUGGAAUCUGAGCUCAUCAACACUGCCUAUACCAAUGUGUUACUUCUGCGACAGCUGUUUGCACAAGCUGAGAAGUGGUAUCUUAAGCUACAGACAGACAUCUCUGAACUUGAAAACCGGUAAUAAAAUUUGAACUUGCAACUGCGACAAUAAUGGCCCAAGCAUAAUCUUAAAAGUUAGUGAACAUCUUUGGCUGCAUAUUUUCUUGGGGCUAGCGUGUGAGGAAAUUUGGGUAGGGUAACAGCAAAGCAUUGAGUCACUGAGUGAUCUCUUGGGUACCACUAAGCACCCUUUUAAAAGUUCUCUGUUUCUACUGUUCCUAGGUAUUACAAAGGCCAUCGAGAUUUAUGAAAUUGCUUUUCAGGCUAUCAUUAAUUAUUUCUUACAGCAUUUUUGUUAGCUUGGUCAGUAUUACCAUCAGAUUGGUCAACUAAGAAAUAAAGAUUAUGAGACAGUUGAAAAGUCAAUUCAAAUAUAAUAAAUACCAUCAAUUCAAUCCAGUAGCAUUGGAAGUUUUCCAAAUAAUGGAAUUUAAAAGUAUACAUUUAUUAACUUUGAAAUAGGAAAUAUACAAAAAAGCUUAUAAUAUGGACAUCUAAGAGCUCAAAUUCAAAAAAUAUGGUAAAAUUGGUGAAGCUGAAACUCAUUUUAAGAAAAAGCAUGCCAGAAAUCAGGAAGGACUGACCACCAAGCCCCGUGAACUACUCUAAGCACAGUCACAGCACAUCAGUUCACAUGCAGAGUGUUGAACAACGCUGAGGACAACCUGUGAGCUGGGGAGGAAAAUCAUUGAACUUCUGCCACUGUCAGUAGAUGACUGGUGAGAAAACUCUGAGAAGGUGGUGCUUUAAGAAGCUUAGAAGCUGACUGCUGUUAACACUCUAAGCUUGUGUAUAGUCACUUCUCAUUGGCCUUUGCAAAUCUUCAGAUGGCACACCCCCACUAUCUGUCUUUCCUAGGAAUUUGUGGUACUCUUUUUCAGUAGAUACUAUGGACUAUUUUCAUUUUUCUGAGGCUACUUUAUUAAGAAUCUUUUUUGAACACCUACUAGCUAACAAUACAUAUUAUGUAAUAAAACAGUCUCCUCAUAGCACCUCAAGAAUACAAAGUUGACUAUAAAUUUUCCUCAUAUUUGUAUUAACAUUAUGGUUUAUUUCUAGCAGUGGAUAUUGCAUGCCUAGUAGAUACAAAAUGCCAGGUACUGUGGAUGAUUACAUUUGAGUCCAUGUGGUUUAGGUUCUCAACCAUUUGCAACUAAUAUUUUUGAUAUGGUGAAGUUUGGUCCACCUUGCUCUGUUCUCUCUGGCAUGUAAUGGGUUGGUACCAGUGAUUUUACUCUUCUUGCGUGUGAUAUAAAUCUAUUUUAAAUGAAUAAUUUUUAUCUUUGCUUUCUUCUUCAAGAGAAUUAUUAGAACAAGUUGCAGAAUUUGAAAAAGCAGAGAUUACAUCUUCAAACAAAAAGCCCAUCUUAGAUGUCACAAAGCCAAAACUUGCUCCACUUAAUGAAGGUGGAACAGCAGAACUCCUAAACAAGGUAAUAUUAUUAUUUUGAGAAACGGAAAGUCUCUCAUUCUGUCCUGUCAUUGCCUAGGGUGGAGAAACAGAAGUGGAAGGUUUGGUUCAGUUCCUCUGAGGAUAAUUAGUCCAUUGCAGUAGUUUUACUUGAUGGUACCCCAUGGGCCAGAAGAGGGCAUACUUAACCUUCUAGAGAGCCUGAAGUAGCUCCUGAUCACACCUUUUCAAGGUAAAGUGAAGAGCAUGAAAUUUUGGACAGCGUUUAUUGAUGGACAUUUAAAGUUUGUGAUCUGCGGUAACAAGGAGAAGGGUUUUUAAGUUUAUAAAAAUUAUUUAUCAAUUAGCCGGGUGUGGUGGUACGUGCCUGUAGUCACAGCUACUCGGGAGGCUGAGGCAGGAGAAUUGCUUGAACCCGGGAGGUAGAGGUUGCAGUGAGCUGAGAUCACGCCACUGCACUCUAGCCUGGGCGACAGAGCGAGACUCCAUCUC